UACGGGGGGAGCAAGCGUUGUUCGGAAUUACUGGGCGUAAAGCGUGCGUAGGCGGUUUGUUAAGUCUGUCGUGAAAGCCCCGGGCUCAACCUGGGAAUGGCGAUGGAUACUGGCGAGCUAGAGUACGGUAGAGGAGAGUGGAAUUCCCGGUGUAGCAGUGAAAUGCGUAGAGAUCGGGAGGAACAUCAGUUGCGAAGGCGGCUCUCUGGACCAGUACUGACGCUGAGGCACGAAAGCGUGGGGAGCAAACAGG
rnacentral:rRNA from 1 species